GUGAAUGUCAGCUCGUCGAGUAAUCCCAUUUGCUUUCACCACCUCCAUUGUUGUAAUUACUUGCGCGUCCCAUCCCAGGUGACAAUCACUAGCAUCAACACCAGCGCAACAACCACCUAAAGCUCCAUACAAGAGGCCCCUGCUCACUGCGCUUCACCAUGACGAUGGUGCACGCUCACCGGUAACCUCUCACCCAGGCGUGCCUUCCUGCGCUGCGAUCAAAACAAGGUUAUACAGCAGCAUUGGCUUCGAGCUCCUCCCUCCGACUCCACUUCCAUCUUCCUCUGUACCUCAGACUGCUUCACCCUGGCUUCCCUCUCCGGUUUCGACAUCCCUCCCUCUCCACAGCGCUCCUGUCUUCAUUCCUCUAAAACAUCAACACCUCCACAUCCCACAUUUCCCAUCAUGCCUCUGGCACCAACCAUUCAUUGUUAGUUGGAACAUCCGUGGUUUCGGGUGUAAAAGGUACAACGUCUCACUGGACGCUUUGCCCUUCGAAGGUGUGGCCACACCUGCUAAGCUGCUACAGGUAUGGCUGGGAGAAGGCAGGCCACACAGGGCGGCGCCCCACGGAGUCGAGGGGGCAGAAUGAUGAGCUGCUCUGGCUGUGGGAGUCCAGCUUGGGCCCUCGACCCGUCAGUCUACCUGCAGCUUUAGUCUCUCUGGCAGACAGUCUCAAGGCCGCUGUGAUGGUGAGAAAUGGUUUACAGGAAGCUCGGAGAGUGUCCGCCCUGCCCGGAGGGAGUGGGACUGCGCCUCUGUUUGCCUACGUGCAACCUGUCUUUCUUGAUCAGAACAGAUGUUUCCUCAGCCAGAUAACUGAGAGUCUUGUGUUGAGUGGCAUUAUAGUGUGAGUGAUAUGAGAUAAAGAGAUGUGAGAUGUGCUCGGGAGGACGGAAUGACAAACACUUACUAAAAAGGAUUCAGGCUUUAAAUCAGCUGUACAAGCGACUAGAAUAGAUGCAUCUUGGGUUACUUCCUCAUGCUUUUAGUGAGACGUUAAGGGCUUCAGUUUUAAGAAGGGUUUGGUUUCUUCCUGUAACAACACCCUGCUCAGGAGGUAACCUUCACUUCGCGAUCCUCUCUUCUUACUUUGGGGGUUGAGUGUUUUGAGGAAAUAGGAAUUGUGAAAGUGUGGGCACCAUGCGUGCAUACUAUCUUCUGUUAUCUGAACAAAGACAA